rnacentral:lncRNA from 1 species
GUUUUAUAGAACUCAACCCUGAGGCCUGGAGUCCCCUGGUGGGCGUCCCCUGGUGGGCGUCCCUUGCUCAGCGCAGCCGUGGGGUCCUCUUUCCGACCUCGUGAGCCCCUGUGCUGGCCACGCCCGAGGCCCCUGCCCGUGUGUCCUCGGCAGUGUGUUGUGCCCGGGGCUGGCUCUCCUCGUCUGCACCCGUUUGGGUUCAUCCAUCUUGGUUCUUCGUUCCCUGCUUACGUGCGGACGGGCCUUUCUCCUGGAAUCUGGCUGGACUCUCUCUGCUCCUCUGUGGCCAUGAGUGUCAGGACCUGACCAGGCCCUGCUCCGGGAGGCGCUGUGUUUGUGCAUUUUUUUCUCUCCUCCAACUUGAGUCAUUUUGAAAACCCACCUUCCAGUUUGCCAGCGCUGUCUCCCGCCCUUUUGGUCAGCCCUGCAGGGAAGGCGUCACUUGAGAUCUUUGUGGCUCUGUGUUAAAUAUCUGCCUUUCCGAAGGCCACGUCCAUCUGCUGGGGGUGCUCCCAAGCCUUCCCCUCACGCUCAGCUUCCCUGAGUUAUCUGAACGGAGUUGGGCGUCCCUGGCUACCCACACACCCUGGGCGUCAGGAAGGGCACUGAGCCUCGGCGCUGGACACGGCCACUGGCCUUGCUUCUUCCUGAACCCCUCCUCCUUCACACUGGACUCGCUGUCCACCCCUGAAUGUUGCUGCUUUUUCCUGACAAGCGAUCAGCUUUCUAAUAGUCCUCUUGAGCUGUGGGUACUUCAUUCGACCCUCUUGAGAGGCAUCAUUUGGACUUUCCCUUUAGAAGCAGAGACCCUCCCCUGGGGACCCUCUGGCUCCGAGCUCCGCCCUGUGGUGUGGGUGGAAGCCCUGCGCCCGCAGGCGGGGCCAACUCUGGCUCUGCUGUCCUGGGCAGCUCAUUUCUAGCCUUCUAGGAGCUGGCCACCACCCCAAAUGCUUCCUGUCCCCAAUGCAGGGGCAGGUGCCUUAGACCAACAGAAAAGAAAGAGGCCCAGAGAAGGAAGAGCCUCCUGCCAGGAGCCUGUGUUGGAACAUGAACACUCGCCCGCAUCCUACAGAUGCAGCCUCUGGAGAGAGCGAGUGCCAAGAGCAGGGCGUGCAGCCCCGGAGCUGGGAUGUCAACUCAGCGGACAGCCCCAACCCCCUGGGCAAGCAGUGACAGCUAUGAGGUAGACUACAGCCCCAAUGCCAAGGAACAGAGAGGGCAGUGACUCCCUCCACGCUGCACAGCCCCCUCGGCAGCUGGACCCCGGGCACAUGAGUAUCACUCAUUCCACGGCUGAUAGCCAAAGAGAUGGCGAGAGGGAGACAGCAGGGCCCAGGCUGGGGAAGCAGAGGUGCACAGAGACCUCUGUGCCAACACCUUCCCUGCACAGGUGGGGAAACUGAGGCCCAGCCGGAGGGGCCCUCCUCACCCAAGCUGCGAGAUGAGUUGCCAGGGGAUCAACAGCCUGGUUGCCCCUCCCUCUGAAUUCUGCCACAGCCCCUUGGCUCUCCCUGGAACUGCAGGAAGGCCCUGGUGGGCGCAGAUGCCUGGCUCCACACGACCGCCCCGCCCUGGUCUACUGCCCCAUGGACACAAAGCCCCCUUGGCUGCAGCCUUCUCUCCUCUCCCUGUGACAUUCAGAAACCCGGGACUUUCCAGAACUCUGAAAAGGCUCCCCAGGACCAGCUCCAGGGGUGGGUUCCAAAUACCACAAUGUCAUUUCGUCUGAAAGGCAGCUCUGGGAGCAAAGCAAGACUCUGGCAGUACGCACACCGGCAGACCCUCCCACCCAGAGCCAGAGGAGGAGGGACGAGUGGAUGUGAGAAGGGGCUGAGUCUGGGGCAGACGCUGCAAGACCAGGUGUUCUGAGGGUGGUGACAGGAAGAGGAGCCUGGCAUCGUCCCUCCCAGGCAGGAGCCGAUCCAACCACGCACAUAGCAGCUCUGCAGAAACUGAGCAGCUUGGAGCCCACGGAGCUGCUGACAGUGAGUCGGUCCCCCCACGGUGCCCAGAGGAGCGUGUCUCGCUGCUGCUGCAUGGAGGAGUCUGGCACCCUCUGUUUGAAACAGAAUAUCGGCAUCUCUAUGCCUCGGCAAAGUGGCUGCCCGCACGUGUGGGCAUUUCGGAGAGCCCCACUCCGAGAGGCGUGUCAACCGCCAGCAGGGCCGCACCCAGCUUCAUGGCCCUGAGCUGCCAGCCACACAGAUGCCCACGGUUCACCAUGUGGCUUGCAGCCUGCAGCCAUGGCCUGUUUGUGCGGGAGGCUGUCACAGCAGUGCGAAGCCACCUCCUGAGCUGGGCCCACCGUGAAGAUGGUCAGUCGACCCCUCCCUGCCCAACAGAAGCCCACAGCGUGACACAUCCCACGCCCAUCGACACCAAAAAUCUCCAGCAGGCCAGACCCUUCCUUGGUGCUGUGCCUUGGAACGAUACCGCCUUAACUAGGGGCACAGGGACUUGCCGGGAGGAAAAAACAACAUUCCAAACUUACCAAAAACUUAGAAGUUUAUACUAGAACCAGGGAAAGACUAUGGAAUUCCCCUUUGAAUUUGCAGCAACAGCAGCAGCCGGCAGCCGGCAGCCGGGUUUGCGUGCAGAAUGCAACAUUGUCGCUGACCCGCAAGAAUACUUUGUCCUUGGCUUUUGACUAAAAGAAGCAGGCAGCGCCGUGGGCGCUUAGCAGAGGGAUCAUUCCCGCAGUCCCUCCCAGGGCUCAGGCAGAGGGUGUCGAGGGGCAGAGGGAGAAAAGAAAGAGUAUGAAUGACACUCUGAAGUAUCGGGACCCCAGGAAGGAAGACUCACCAGAGCAAGCACCCGGCUUCCGGCCCGAAUCUGGGGGACGUGGGCACUGUCCCUCAGCACUGGUGGGCAGGGCCAGAGCACCAGCUGCAGCCCUGCCCUCUGCGUGGCCUGUUUCCCUGGCUGGCCGGCUGGCAAGGCCAUGAUGAGAACCUCGGUGACCCGCACAGAGCCCCCAGAGGCCCAUGGAGGCUGCUGUAGACCACGAAACACCACAUUGUUUUAGGCAGCUGCAACGUCCCCAGCGCGGGGCACUGUCCCGGAAGGUGGGUAUGGGGGUGCCAGGAGCCCCCAGAGGAGAACCAUGGGGAGGAGCCCUCCCCUCCCAGGCGCUCAGCAGGCACCAGGCUCGGCCAGCCGGACCCCACACAGCCCCCAGCACUGGGCCAGCUCAGCAGCCUGAGGGCGGUGGUGCUCAGCCUGGCCCCCUUGGGACCACCCAGAGAGUUUGGAAAAAUCUGCUGGCCCCAGCCUGUGGGCCUGGCCAGUCCAGGUCUGGGGAGCAGCCUGUGUGUGCAGAGGGAGCCUCUGCCUGGGCCCUGGGGAGCAGCCUGUGUGUGCAGAGGGAGCCUCUGCCUGGGCCCUUCUGCAGUGGGUUGUGGAUGCCCCGCAGCAGCAGACUGAGGACGCUGGAGUGGCCACACGGGAGAGAAGACACCCCGAAGCUGUUGGCCACCCAACCCCACAUGACAUGUCAUCCAGCACCUCGUCCCUGAGUCUGCGGACCCACCUGCCACCCCCGCCCCGCUGCGUUGCCUCCCUGUGGACACUCUGUCCUGAGCCUGCCUGGCCACCCCACCCAGCCAGGGGGGCUGCACACCCACCUGGGCAGGGAGGCGGCCCAGCCCCUGCUUCUGCCGCUCACGGUCUCCGGGUCUGGGUGGGCUACGGCAUCCAAGGGACACCAGGAAGCUGCUGAGCUCUGGAGGGGCCAGCCUGCAGCUGCCAACCAGCAGGCCCAGCUGGCCCUGGGACCUGAGGACCCAGGGGUCCUUUCUGGCUGACUAGGUGUUGGGACGGGCAGAUGAAAAUGGGGGACCGGGUCGCCAGCCAGGCGUCUCUGCUGACCCCUCCUCAGGUGCCCAGCGGGUGCCGCACGCAGCAGAGUGUCUGGCCAUGACCACGGGGACAGAGGACAAAGGAAGGGGAAGCGGUGUCCAGGAGCACCUGGCUGGCCGGGGUUUGGCAGGUUGCAGCCGAACCCAGAGGCUCCCAUGGGCACUGGGUCUCCUGGCACAGAGGGGACCACCAUUCAGGGUCAGCUGGCAGCCUUGGGGGGUGCCUGCCGCAUGCCCGACCCCGGAGGGCGAAGGGUGCUGACUGGCACUCAGCUCGUGCAUCCUAAUGACUUCUAGAGGCUGAAAAACAUCCCCAGACAAGUGACGCCGUGGCGAGGAGGUGUCUGUGACAGAUUAAGCACAAAGGAUCAGCAGCACCCAGGAUGUGCCAACUCCCAGAAGGAAAGAAGGCAGGGAUGGGAGCGGCCGCCGGUACCCAGCAGCCACCAGGGAGACGUGCCACCCGCCAGGCCAGGAGGGCACCAACCAGCCCGCUGGCAGCGGCUCCCCAACCACAGACGCAGAAACUCCAGCCUGAGUGUCCGGUGGCAGGUGCCCUGGCCACUCAUGGGUCCUGUGGGAGCGCGGGGGGCUGGGAGAGGGGGCUGGACACCACCGUAAGCCCUCGGGGCCUCCUGUAGGAGCCUGUGGUCCCCCGUGCAGCAGGCACAGGCUCAGAGCCAGCAGCGGACCCCAAACUCCCAGGGCCAUGACCCGACAGGGCUGUCGAGGACUAGCAGUCACCAGGCCCCAGGACUGUGGACGUGCACACACACACGAGGGUAAGUCCUGUCGCCCGGCCUGUGCGGGGAACCCUGGGGCAACAGGAGUCAGACCUAACCUGGUGCACCCAGGAGCCUACAGAGAGGGCAAAUCAGUGUGCGGAACCAAGGUCACACCACUGAGCCUCCUCAGCCCCUCAGGGACGCACCGGCCUGGCGCUGGCCAGCCAGGUUCCUCUGGAGGAGAGCAGAGGGCUGCUCCCAGGUGCAAGGCACCUCCACGUGGCUCCUGCCGGAUGUCCUGGAGUCAGCAGCACUGGGCACCAGCUCUGCCCUGGCCCACAGGUGGCCUCCACUCCCUCUGGCUCAAGGGCCAGCCCUAUCCGCUCCUGUCCCUCCCUCCUCCCUUCUCCCUGGCUCUCCCCCUCCACCUCCCUCCAUUUGUCUUCUGUCUCCCCUCCCCUCCCCUCUUCCCUUCCCCUCUCUUUCUCCCUUCCCUCCCCUCCUCCCCUCCCCUCCUCCCUUCUCCUCCUCCCCUUCCUUCCCCCUUCCUUUCUCCUCUCCUCCUCUCCUGCUCUCUCUCCAUCCCCUCCUCUCGCUCUCUCCCUCUCCUCCUCUCCUGCUCUCUCCCUCUCUCCUCCUCUCCUGCUCUCUCCCUCUCUCCCUCUCUCCUCCUCUCCUGCUCUCUCUCUCUCCCUCUCCUCCUCUCCUGCUCUCUCUCUCUCCCUCUCCUCCUCUCCUGCUCUCUCUCCCUCUCCUCCUCUCCUGCUCUCCCUCCCUCUCCUCCUCUCCUGCUCUCUCCCUCCCUCCACUGGGUGGGCCCUUCCGUGAACAUCCUUGCUGUCUAAAGUUGACUCCCCUGAGUGGUCUUCUGUCACCACACAGGAGGUGUUGGGUAGCAGGAGGUAGGGACCAGAAUGACCCAGCUCCCACCGGUGACACUCUGCCUAUUGGUGAGAGCUCAAAUCUGCUGAUUGUGGCCAUAAGUAACCAGAUGCAGGCGCAAGGCCAGAGGUGGCUUUUGCCAACUGUCCUGCAACAGGUCUGUCCCAGCCAAGGCCUGAUAUCUCCCUGAGUUCCCAGUUGCACCAGCUCCAGAGCUACUUUCUUUCUAGCAUUUUCCGCACACAUAGUACCUUUUAUUGAGGUCUGUUUGUAGCCUCUGCUCUGGGGGUUUCACACCCCGCCCCGUGUACAGAAGGGCAGCAGGGCGGUCGUACCUGUGAUGGUCUGGACGCCUGGCCCCAGCAGACCCAGCCGUCUAGUCGCUGUAGCUGGUAUGAGUCCUGGGUGGUCACCUGGUCUGGGUGGGCCACUCCUGCCCAGGCUGGCUGUGGACCUCAGCUCAGGGUGACCAGCCCUGCAGGCAGCAUCCUGUGCCAGCUCUCAGCUGGGCACUGCCCUCAGGCUCUGCUGUGGUAAGGACUUCGCCAGAUCCCAGAGGAUGGGGCAGCCGGGCAGAGCCCCGGGUGGCCUGAGCUUGGUGUCCGGAGCUUAGGAGUAAGCUCUCACUCCGUCCCUGCUGCCUGAGCUUCGGCCUGAGGAGGGGCCACCUGGGAAGCAGCCUGGACUGGGGAGUGCCAUCUCCAGGCUCAGACUCCUGGCCCAGGGCGUCCCACACAGCUGCAGCGGGGCCGGCCUUGGGGCUGAUGGCGCCUCCCUCCCCCGUGUCUUGGGACCAGCUUUGGCCUAGCCCAGGGCCCUGGCAGCACACCUGGGGAGCAGUGAGGGUCAGGACUGGGGGGCACACUGUCUCGAGGUUCUGGGUGGAAACUUAAGAUGGCAGAAGCUUGGCAUGACCACCGACCCUCCAGAAUCCUGCUGCCACCUGCCCGGGGUCCUUAGGAAGCUUCUGGAAAGGCCCAGGGAGCUGUGCUGCCCGCCAGGAUCUGGAGGGGUCAGUACCAUUCCCUGGUUCUCAUUUUCAUAAUCAGCAAAACUCAGAAAGCUGUGUGAAAGUCGGUUUCAUCCCAAGCAUAACAACAGGGCUCCUGGUCCCGCGAGCACACGCUGGGGACUAGAGGUCAACCUUUUGGGGCCAGGCUCUCCCACAGUUUUCCUGGGGACGGCAGGACCCGUGGUGCAUGCUGGAACCAGAGGGGAACGGGGCGUGGUCCACUCCUGCGCUCAGCCAAGCCCAGCUGCCCGGGAGGGGAGGCCGUCCACCAUGACACAGACAGGAGGCCUAAGGGCCUCCGCCCUCCUGCACAGCCAGUGCAGGCCUGGACAAGGGUCCAGAAAGGCUGCCUAAGGGACAGAUUCUUCAAUGACCACAUUGAUAAGUGAGCAGCUCCUGGGGCUUUCUGUGCUGUGACCUCUGUCGUCACCACUAUCUGUACCUAAAUGUCCACCUUCCCCGACAAACUCAGAGACACUGGACACUCACGCUCCCUCCUGCCGGCAACCCAUUGCACAUCCUGUGAGCGACUCCUCCAGGGACCUCCUGAGUGGACUUGGCCUGUCACAUCCCCUGUGCCUGACUGCUGGGCAGGGUGAUGUCCUUGGGGCUCUUCCAUUCACAAGCCUGUGUCACAGUUUCCUUCCUUUUUAAGGCUGAAUAAUAUUCCAUUGUAUGGGUAGACCACGUGAUAUCCGUCCCUUUGUCUGCGCGGGAGACCAGGGUUGAGCAAUGCACCAGGGAUCGUGGGUGUACAAACACCUCUUUGAGUCCCCACUUCCAGUUCCUCGGGGUUUACACCCAGAAGUAGAAUUCCUGGCUCAUGUGGUGACUCCAUUUAACCUUUGAGGAAAUGCCGAGCUCUUUCCGAGUGGCUGGCCACUUACUCUCCCUCAGCACUGGGUCAUGCGACUCCUCCGCAACCUUGCCAGUCAUCUGCUGGCUUUGGUCAUAGCCGUCCUGUGGCCUGGCUGUGACUGUGUCCCCAGCAGAUGGGUUGAGCCCCUCGGCUGCUCCUUGGCACUGGAGAGCGCCUGUGGAGGCCUUGGAAGUGGUGGAGUUUGUGAAUCAAACGUCCUGACUCACCUGGAGCCAGCAGAGACUCCGCCCGCUGCCCCCUUGGCCAGCUGGGUCGCCACCCGGGGCCACGGCUGGGAACUUGGCCAAGGACUCGCGUGGGGGAGGGGUUCUCCCAGGGGCCUGCCCCCACCUCUCUGCCGGCAGCUCCCGAGGUUCCCGG